rnacentral:rRNA from 1 species
AUUGAACGCUGGCGGCAGGCCUAACACAUGCAAGUCGAGCGGAUGAAGGGAGCUUGCUCCUGGAUUCAGCGGCGGACGGGUGAGUAAUGCCUAGGAAUCUGCCUGGUAGUGGGGGAUAACGUCCGGAAACGGGCGCUAAUACCGCAUACGUCCUGAGGGAGAAAGUGGGGGAUCUUCGGACCUCACGCUAUCAGAUGAGCCUAGGUCGGAUUAGCUAGUUGGUGGGGUAAAGGCCUACCAAGGCGACGAUCCGUAACUGGUCUGAGAGGAUGAUCAGUCACGCGGGAACAGAGACGCGGGACAGAGUCGUGGGGGACGAAGGAGGAGGGAAUAUUACACUAUACGGGAACGCGCGAUGCAGCUAUGCCGGGUGUGGGAAGAAGGUCGAAGGAUGGUAAAGUUCGUGAAGUGGGGAUGAAGAGCAUUAAGUUAAUCCUUGGCUGUUUAAACGUAACCAAAGGAAAAAGCGCCGGUAACCUUCGGGCCAGCCGGAGCGGGAAUAGAGGGGACGGCCCAUGUCGAAC